GUGGGGAAUAUUGGGCAAUGGGGGAAACCCUGACCCAGCGACGCCGCGUGAGGGAAGACGACCUUCGGGUUGUAAACCUCUUUUGUACGGGAAGAAGGAAGUGACGGUACUGUACGAAUAAGUCCCGGCUAACUACGUGCCAGCAGCCGCGGUAAUACGUAGGGGACGAGCGUUGUCCGGAAUUACUGGGCGUAAAGGGCGCGCAGGCUGUGCUGCAAGUCAGCUGUGAAAUGUCUGGGCUUAACCCGGGCAUGCGGUUGAGACUGCAGUGCUGGAGUGCUGUAGAGGCAAGUGGAAUUCCCAGUGUAGCGGUGAAAUGCGUAGAUAUUGGGAAGAACACCGGUGGCGAAGGCGACUUGCUGGGCAGCAACUGACGCUGAGGCGCGAAAGCCAGGGGAGCAAACGGGAUUAGAUACCCGUGUAGUCC
rnacentral:rRNA from 1 species